AUUGAACGCUGGCGGCAUGCCUUACACAUGCAAGUCGAACGGCAGCACGGGUGCUUGCACCUGGUGGCGAGUGGCGAACGGGUGAGUAAUACAUCGGAACAUGUCCAGUAGUGGGGGAUAGCCCGGCGAAAGCCGGAUUAAUACCGCAUACGAUCUAUGGAUGAAAGCGGGGGACCUUCGGGCCUCGCGCUAUUGGGGUGGCCGAUGGCGGAUUAGCUAGUUGGUGGGGUAAAGGCUCACCAAGGCGACGAUCCGUAGCUGGUCUGAGAGGACGACCAGCCACACUGGGACUGAGACACGGCCCAGACUCCUACGGGAGGCAGCAGUGGGGAAUUUUGGACAAUGGGCGAAAGCCUGAUCCAGCAAUGCCGCGUGUGUGAAGAAGGCCUUCGGGUUGUAAAGCACUUUUGUCCGGAAAGAAAUCCUUGAUCCUAAUACGGUCGGGGGAUGACGGUACCGGAAGAAUAAGCACCGGCUAACUACGUGCCAGCAGCCGCGGUAAUACGUAGGGUGCAAGCGUUAAUCGGAAUUACUGGGCGUAAAGCGUGCGCAGGCGGUGAUGCAAGACCGAUGUGAAAUCCCCGGGCUCAACCUGGGAACUGCAUUGGUGACUGCAUCGCUAGAGUAUGGCAGAGGGGGGUAGAAUUCCACGUGUAGCAGUGAAAUGCGUAGAGAUGUGGAGGAAUACCGAUGGCGAAGGCAGCCCCCUGGGUCAAUACUGACGCUCAUGCACGAAAGCGUGGGGAGCAAACAGGAUUAGAUACCCUGGUAGUCCACGCCCUAAACGAUGUCAACUGGUUGUCGGGUCUUCAUUGACUUGGUAACGUAGCUAACGCGUGAAGUUGACCGCCUGGGGAGUACGGUCGCAAGAUUAAAACUCAAAGGAAUUGACGGGGACCCGCACAAGCGGUGGAUGAUGUGGAUUAAUUCGAUGCAACGCGAAAAACCUUACCUACCCUUGACAUGUAUGGAAGUCCGCUGAGAGGUGGAUGUGCCCGAAAGGGAGCCAUAACACAGGUGCUGCAUGGCUGUCGUCAACUCGUGUCGU
rnacentral:rRNA from 1 species